GAGUUUGAUCAUGGCUCAGAUUGAACGCUGGCGGCAUGCCUUACACAUGCAAGUCGAACGGCAGCAUGAUCUAGCUUGCUAGAUUGAUGGCGAGUGGCGAACGGGUGAGUAAUACAUCGGAACGUGCCCUGUAGUGGGGGAUAACUAGUCGAAAGAUUAGCUAAUACCGCAUACGACCUGAGGGUGAAAGUGGGGGACCGCAAGGCCUCAUGCUAUAGGAGCGGCCGAUGUCUGAUUAACUAGUUGGUGGGGUAAAGGCCCACCAAGGCGACGAUCAGUAGCUGGUCUGAGAGGACGAUCAGCCACACUGGGACUGAGACACGGCCCAGACUCCUACGGGAGGCAGCAGUGGGGAAUUUUGGACAAUGGGCGAAAGCCUGAUCCAGCAAUGCCGCGUGUGUGAAGAAGGCCUCGGUU
rnacentral:rRNA from 1 species